UGUGUGCUUUUUGUUGUUAUUUUUUAACCCUUCACGGGCACCAGCGCGGGCCUAGGGUACAGGCCGCGCCAGCAGCACCUGGGACAGGGCUGUUUAGUGUAUGAGCGCACGCCUAUGUUACAGGCCGCACCAGCAGCACCUGGGACAGCUGCUUAGAGUGUGAGUGCGGGCCUAUGCUACAGCAGCGCCUGGGACAGGACUGCUCAGUGUGUGAGCACACCAGUCGCAUUGGCGCAGGGAGGCUGUGAGAAUUUAAAUCUCCAGGUAAUUGCCACAAAACUUAGCUGAAGUUCGGGUUGUUUUGCUGUGGUGCUGUGCUGUGUAUUUCUUCCAGGACAACACCAUGGACAAGACGACCAGCCACCAGCAAGUCUGUUAGGCCCAGUGACUAGCCAGAGUCAGGAGCAGAGAAUUCCUCUCCGGGGCUGGAUACCGUUUCUUCAACGGUUAUCCCAAAUGGAGCACCUCUUGCAGAGGUUGUUUCCCCAGGGCACACUCCAGGAGCAGGAGUGGUGUCAGCGGUAGGCUGGAGAAGAGGCUGCACCCGCAGCACCUAGUAAAGGGCUGCUCGAUAGCACCCUCAUUGAUGAGGUGCAUGCCAUGGGUCAGCUGAGUUCUGACCCCGACUCUGACGGUGAGUUCAAUCAAGGCGAAGAACGGCAGCUGCCAGAUGUCCCAUCCCUGGCAGUAUGAUUUGUUGUCCCGUCAGAGUCAGGAGAGCCACUGGGAGAUGAGUUGGCCUCCACGAUAAAUUAUUUAGUCUCCCAUCAACUACAGGAGCUCACGAUGGAUGAGGCCGCAAAGAAACACGAGACCCCGGGGAACUGCGUGUUGCCUUAAGGUGCCGUCAGUGAACCAGCUGAUAUGGGGUCAGAUGGGCGUGGCAUGCAUGCCCAGGAAAUGAAGCUGCAACGAAUGCUGCUGGACUCAGGAAUGACUGCGUUCGCUAGAAAGGGCAGCGGUCCGAGAUGCAGCAAGGUUAAGCCACCGGUGGUCGGCAAAUCUGAGAAUGUAUCCCUACAAGAGAGGUGCAGAUUCGGGUUUGGACCAGGAACAAGCCGGCCGUUGACGCAGAUAUACAGCUGGCGCUCUGCAGCAGGACCAUGGAUGAAUGGCAGAGUUCAUCAUUUGGCGACAACGCACCCUAUGCCUGCAUCGGCAGUAGGUGGUUCACUGAAGCUGGUGGCAGCAUGACAGCUGGGCACAGGUUCCACGCACCCUACCAGUCCUACUCAACAAGGUGGGUCUGGCACUUCCAAAACAUGGGUAAGUGGACCACUCACAAGUUGGUAAUAUUUACACUUGUUUGUACAGCAUACAAAGGAUAAAAGCAUGGUCAUCUGCUUAGAAGGCACAAUGCUAGCAUUCCAAACAAGUUUGGAAUUAGAGCCAGAAUUGUCGGUUUUCCAGACAGGCUCGAAAAUUGGACAGAGUUGUCAUGCAAAGCACCCAUGGAAUGAUGGCAGGAGUGGCCUGUUCAUUAUGAAAAAUACCGUUUAACUAUACUAAUAAAAGUAAAACAUUGCAAAAUUGGAUAAACUAUAUUCCCAGGUUAUUUAACAAAUUAUAAAAUCGGUGUUUCGACUCUGAGUUCGAAAACGCUUGUUAUGUUUGUCUGGAUGAUAUUCUAAUGCUGUAUUUUGGUAAAACUCACCGGCUCAGUCUCAAACUAUAUUUGUGAAAUUGGGCUCAGCCAUCCAGCUAACAUUAAGUUGUUACCUAAUAGACUUGUUGGCCAUUGGGAUUUAUCUUUAACUAUUGAUUAGUUAUGACUCCGCCUUGGGGCAUGAGAUGGGAGUUAAUAGAAACCUGUUAAAGAUCAAUUCUAUUCAUCUAGAGUAUUGGCAAUAUAAUAGCUGGGACUCAGCUGUGCAAGUCAGGAAAGUAGCAAUCUCUCUAAUGACAUUUGGGUGAUUGUUAACAAGCUUAUGCUUUGAACAGCUGAAGCUACCUAAGUUACAAUGAUGAACAAACAGUAUUCAGCAUUGCUCCAGCUAAGUGCUCUAAGAUGGGAAAAAAUUGCGAAUGUCAUCUCUAGUUGGAGGUGCAGGAGAUUUGCAUGAGUUGCCAAUUCUUCAGUUGUUGGUAUCAACUAGCUAUAGACGCUAGACGCAUCCCAUGGGUAAAGGGCUAUUGAGCGAAUACAUAAUCUACAAGCCCAACUUCAAGUUGAUACACUACGGUGGUGGCAGAUGUUAGUCACAUGUCAAUCAAGUAAAGGAUUCAGGACAACACAGAAUAAGUGUUGAAUCACAAAGUAUUUAUGAAAAUAUGGUUCAUGCUUUUUCACUGAUUGCAAAAAUAUGUGGUAUAACAGUGGUGAGAGAUACAUUCUCGCCAUAAGACGGAGGAAUGUUUUUUUUUAUUCUUUUAUGCCUUUCUCCAUUUUGCCUCAUCAGUAGGGUCUUGAAAUAAAGUCAGCAAGAUCUCGCUUUAGUUUUCGUACUGUCUGACUGGCUGUGCAGACGUGCUUCCCGCUUCCGUCGGGCAUGAUAAUCCAACCGUAUAAGAACUAGCUUUUCAACUGGGAUGAAUUAAAAAUCUGUUUCGUAUUAAGAAUGAAUUCUGAGUUCAAGGGACUGGAGGAAAUCCCCACAGGAAAUAGUCCAAUUACACCAUAACCACAAGCAAAAAGAAAAUAAACAAGAGGAGCCAUAGUGAUUACUUGGACGUUCAAUCCAAUGACAUACUUUAUAAGGGGUAUAAUGGAGGUUCAAUUCAGCAGAUGGAUUAAUGGCACUAAUCAUGCUCAAUGAGGAAGAACAUAACUGGACUGAAGCAUGGCUAUUCACUCCCUAUGUAAAUGAUGUUGCAGCCUUAACUCUACACCACAUGCAUGCAUUUCAGUCCCAGUAUUGGUUAUGUUUCCAUUGGGUUGCACUCCAUCAUAUAUUACAUAGAUCCAAUUUGAAUAAAAAUGUUUCGGUUGAAAAAGAU